UACGAAGGGGGCUAGCGUUGUUCGGAAUUACUGGGCGUAAAGGGCGCGUAGGCGGCCUGUUUGGUCAGAUGUGAAAGCCCCGGGCUCAACCUGGGAACCGCAUUUGAUACUGGCAGGCUUGAGUUCCGGAGAGGAUGGUGGAAUUCCCAGUGUAGAGGUGAAAUUCGUAGAUAUUGGGAAGAACACCGGUGGCGAAGGCGGCCAUCUGGACGGACACUGACGCUGAGGCGCGAAAGCGUGGGGAGCAAACAGG
rnacentral:rRNA from 1 species